rnacentral:rRNA from 1 species
AUUGAACGCUGGCGGAAUGCUUUACACAUGCAAGUCGAACGAUGAACCUUAGCUUGCUAAGGGGAUUAGUGGCGAACGGGUGAGUAAUAUAUCGGAACGUGCCUUGUAAUGGGGGAUAACUAGUCGAAAGAUUAGCUAAUACCGCAUACGCCCUGAGGGGGAAAGUAGGGGAUCUUCGGACCUUACGUUAUAAGAGCGGCCGAUAUCUGAUUAGCUAGUUGGUGGGGUAAUGGCCUACCAAGGCGACGAUCAGUAGCUGGUCUGAGAGGACGACCAGCCACACUGGAACUGAGACACGGUCCAGACUCCUACGGGAGGCAGCAGUGGGGAAUUUUGGACAAUGGGCGCAAGCCUGAUCCAGCCAUUCCGCGUGAGAGAAGAAGGCCUUCGGGUUGUAAAGCUCUUUCGCAAGGGAAGAAAACUUACCAUCGAAUAAAUGGUGAGGCUGACGGUACCUUGAUAAGAAGCACCGGCUAACUACGUG